rnacentral:rRNA from 1 species
GACGAACGCUGGCGGCGUGCUUAACACAUGCAAGUCGAGCGAUGAAGCACCUUCGGGUGUGGAUUAGCGGCGAACGGGUGAAGAACACGUGAGGAAUCUGCCUUUCACUUCGGGAUAACUCCGGGAAACCGGGGCUAAUACCGGAUAUUUUCAACUGGCGGCAUCGCCGGUUGAAGAAAGUUUUUCGGUGAAAGAUGACCUCGCGGCCUAUCAGCUUGUUGGUGAGGUAAUGGCUCACCAAGGCGACGACGGGUAACCGGCCUGAGAGGGCGACCGGCCACACUGGGACUGAGACACGGCCCAGACUCCUACGGGAGGCAGCAGUGGGGAAUAUUGGGCAAUGGAGGAAACUCUGACCCAGCGACGCCGCGUGAGGGAUGAAGGCCUUCGGGUUGUAAACCUCUUUCAGCAGGGAAUAAGCGAAAGUGAAGGUACCUGCAGAAGAAGCACCGGCUAACUAUGUGCCAGCCGCCGCAGUAA